rnacentral:rRNA from 1 species
GACGGAGGGUGCAAGCGUUAUCCGGAUUCACUGGGUUUAAAGGGUGCGUAGGUGGGUUGAUAAGUCAGUGGUGAAAUCCCCGAGCUUAACUUGGGAACUGCCAUUGAUACUAUUGAUCUUGAAUACCGUAGAGGUCAGCGGAAUAUGUCAUGUAGCGGUGAAAUGCUUAGAUAUGACAUAGAACACCAAUUGCGAAGGCAGCUGGCUACGCGAAUAUUGACACUGAUGCACGAAAGCGUGGGGAGCAAACAGG